CCCUGACAGCCAUGCUCCCCCCAAAUCCCAUUUAUUCGUUUGCAUGCUCUUUUGUCCUUGGCACUCCAGCUGGCACCAGCAGCAGACAGGGAAUGCAGUGGGACAGAAUUCCCCGUGCCUCAGCAGCUCUGGAGCAAGGGCAGUGAGAAAUCUCAAUAGGAAGCCUGCACAGCAAAGAUUUCUUCAUCCUUUUUUGAAGGCACAGUGUGACCAAAGAACUCAGAUAAGGCUCCAAAAGUCCUUUGGGCUUGAGUCUGGCCCUCUGGCUCUCCAGCACCAACUCCACACUUGGUCCUUCGCACAAGCGUCCCC
rnacentral:lncRNA from 1 species